rnacentral:tRNA from 1 species
GCCUGGCUGGCUCAGUCGGUGGAGCAUGUGACUCUUGAUCUCUGGAUUGUGAGUUCAAUCCCCAUGUUGAGUG